UGCAGAGGACAGUACCACCAUCAAAGAAGCUAAGGCAGCCAUCACUAAAGACCUUAAAGGCAGAUACAAUGACCCUGGUGUUCAGGAUUUUCUGCACAGAGCCACAGCACUUGAUCCAAGAUUCAAGUCCCUGCCUUACCUGGAAAAAGCCUGUGUUCAGAAAAUCUACGAUGAUCUAACCACGGACAUUGUGGACAUUGAAAAGCAGGGUCAAAGCAGUAAAGCCCAAGCGGCCAGUUCAUCCUCAGGAGUGGAGCCAGGGCCAUCAGAGACCUCUCCUCCCCAGAAAAAAAUCUGCCAUGGCAAUGACAUUUGCAGAUUUUUUUUAAAACGGAGGAAAGAAGAACAAAGCCUUUGUCAGACAUCAUACAUGAUACUUCUCUGUGGAUGAAGACCUACUCGCAUGGUGGAAGAGCAAUGAGCAUAAGUAUAUCCUCACAUUGCUAAGAUAGCCCAACAUAACCUCGCUGUGUUUUCUUAACGGCUGGGGACAUAGUCGCUGCAAGUAGGCCUCUUGGUGUGUGUGUGUGUUUUUUUUUUGUUUUUUUUAAUGCAAAAUUUUAUAGCAAUUUUGAUAGCCAGCAUUUUUGUUUUUAAUAUUUAAAUAUAUACAGUGGCACUUUAAUCUCUAGUUUCCAAAUACUGCACUGAGAUUUCAAGUGAAAGAAAUGUAUCCUCACUCUAUACUGUUUUUGUGUUAAGAUGGUUAAACUUAUGCUUGACUUUAUGAUUAUGGCCUUUGCUAUUGUUAUAGCCUCAUUAUAUUAUGUUAAUACAUUACAUUAUAUAUUUAUGUUUAAAGUAUUUUGACUUGUUUAAAAGACAGAGCUUCAAGAGUUCCUCUCUUUUUCAUUUUUUUAUUUAUUUAUUUAUUUAUUUAUUUUGUAAGAGCUACACUGAAGUUGGCAGUUUGAUAAAUGCAAGUUAAUUUUAAUCUUUGUGUGCUAAAAAGGCACAGGUUCCUGUAGAGAUAACAAUACACAUUUUCCUUUUUUUUUGCAAAAUAAACGAAAAGCAUGUCAUCA